rnacentral:misc_RNA from 1 species
GAAAUGCGAUAAGUAGUGUGAAUUGCAGAAUUCAGUGAAUCAUCGAAUCUUUGAACGCACAUUGCGCCCGUUGGUAUUCCUUAGGGCAUGCCUGUUCGAGCGUCAUCUAAACCUUCAAGCCCUGCUUGGUGUUGGGUGCCUGUCCCGCCUCCGCGCGCGGACUCACCUCAAAUCCAUUGGCGGCCCCCGCGUCGGCCACGAGCGCAGCAGAAACGCGAACUCGUGAGCCCGUCCGGGCGGCUCCCAGAAGCUACACCCACCCAGUUUGACCUCGGAUCAGGUAGGGAUACCCGCUGAACUUAAGC